CAGGCUGAGCUUUGGGGCCUUGUAAUGUCUUCUAACUUACAAGGCAUCUAUAUAAUUGUUUUUCAUUGCCAACAAUGGCAUUUUUUGUUAUAAGUACUUUUUGAAAACUAAUAUAUGCCCAUUUUAAAGAAGUUCAAGCACACCUCCCAAGCCCUGUGCAAAGUUUCCAUCCAUGGAGAGCCAUGCCCACCAAGCCUCAAGCGUGAGCAAUUAACCUGAAGAAGACCAGUUCCAAAGCACAUAGCUUCCAAUCUGGAACACUUCACGAAGCCCAGCUCAGCAGGAUCUCUGAACAGACAAGCAAAGUGGGGAGCAGGAAGAGGAGAGGACCUUGGAGUGUGCAGUCUCCACCUCCUUCCCAUCCUUAAUGAACCAGAUCUUUCCAAGGAGACUACCAAGCUGAGGAUCUGGAGAAGCUACAAGCUGUAUUGGUGGCAUGUACUUAUGAAUGCUGCGAGACAAAGCCUUCAGAGCUGGCCCCAGAUGUGAGGCGGUGUUACCAGUGAACAUGGAUGUGGCGCCACAGCAAGGACAGCUGAGGCGGGGCAGGACCUUCUCCACUGUCCCCACUCUGGACUCUGCAAGCACCGUAUCUGGCCAGAGACAAAGUGGCUGGUAUCUGACUGGGUACUCAGCCACCAGCCUGCUGCAUCUGGCUGUCCCUGGGAAGAAAGGAG
rnacentral:lncRNA from 1 species